rnacentral:rRNA from 1 species
UACAUGGGGUGCAACCGUUAAUCGGAAUUACUGGGCGUAAAGCGUGCGCAGGCGGUUUUGUAAGACUGUCGUGAAAUCCCCGGGCUUAACCUGGGAAUGGCGAUGGUGACUGCAAGGCUGGAGUGUGGCAGAGGAGACUGGAAUUCCCGGUGUAGCAGUGAAAUGCGUAGAUAUCGGGAGGAAUACCGAUGGCGAAGGCAGGUCUCUGGGCUGACACUGACGCUCAUGCACGAAAGCGUGGGGAGCAAACAGG